rnacentral:rRNA from 1 species
UACGUAGGCAGCGAGCGUUGUUCGGAGUUACUGGGCGUAAAGAGUGCGUAGGCGGUGCUCCAAGUCUGGUGUGAAAUCUCCCGGCUUAACCGGGAGGGUGCGCCGGAAACUGGGGUGCUGGAGUGUGGGAGAGGUAAGCGGAAUUCCCGGUGUAGCGGUGAAAUGCGUAGAUAUCGGGGAGGAACACCUGCGGUGUAGACGGCUUACUGGACCAUAACUGACGCUGAGGCACGAAAGCGUGGGUAGCAAACAGG